AUGGGGCAAGGGGAGCAGAGCUCCCCAGGGACCCCCCAGGCUCACCUCCCCCCAUGCUCAUCCCUUGCCUCUGGGCACCCGGAUCUGCCUUUAUCUACCCCCCCUGGGGCCCUGCUGUCAGCCCCCGCCCGACCCACUGAGUCCCGCCUGCAGCUCUGGGCCGGGUGGGGUGGUUCUGGGCAGCCCCAGAGGUGGAGGCGCCCCCAGCCAGGCCCGACAUGUCCGCGGGGCCUGUGCUGCGGCUUGGGAAGAGGCGCUGCCGCUUGGGGUGGGGCGCGAGCUGCCCCUGCACCCUCGGCCCCUGCCCCAGCCGCCCCUCGCGCCCCUACUGCUCCUCGGGUCCCUCAGGGAGAGGGCCAUUUCCUUCAUUGGGGGGACCGCCGAGGAAGGCCUGACGACCCAGUAAUGACCCAGGGGACUGUCCCUCGGGCUUCCUGGGCGCAGGCGCCGGUGCUCAGCCGAAGCCUGCAGAUCUUAUCCACGCAGCCGGGCGCUCUUCCUGUGGGAGCAUCCGCCGGGAAGGAGGCCCGGAGUCCCGGGGAUCGGUGCUUGCUUUUAUUUUUUAGGUUAUUGGGGCAAGUUCGCAAAGAGGGAAGGGAGCUCCUUUACUGGGGGCCCAGAGCUGGCCCGGCUGAGGGAGCGCGGCAGGGGGUGCCGGGGCGCAGGGGGCGGGGCCGGAGCCAGACCGAGAACCCCGCACGGGAACCCAAAGGGGAGGGGAGGUGGCCGGCGCUGCCCGAGGGAGUCCGGGGAGGGCCUUGCGCUGGCCGGGGCGGGGGCCACCAGGGACAGGGACUGGGGGCCAACCCGCGGUGCGCGGUGCCAAGUAGCACCGGCUCCUUUGACCCCCACGACCUGCAUCCCCGUCGGACUGCGAUGGCAGAGGAAUGUGGAGGCACGCUCCCUGGGGGUGCCCGGGGUGCCCGGGGGUACCCAGGGGUUCCCAGAGGUGCCCGGGUGUUCUUAGGGGUGUCUAGGGGUGCCCAGUGGUUCCCAGAGGUGCCCAGGGAUGCCCGGGGGCUCCCAGGGGUUCCCGGGUGUUCCCAGGGGUGCCCGGGGGUACCCAGGGGUUCCCAGAGGUGCCCGGGUGUUCUUAGGGGUGUCUAG
rnacentral:lncRNA from 1 species